rnacentral:rRNA from 1 species
AGAACGAACGCUGGCGGCAUGCCUAACACAUGCAAGUCGAACGAGACCUUCGGGUCUAGUGGCGCACGGGUGCGUAACGCGUGGGAAUCUGCCCUUGGGUCCGGAAUAACUCAGAGAAAUUUGAGCUAAUACCGGAUGAUGACGUAAGUCCAAAGAUUUAUCGCCCAGGGAUGAGCCCGCGUAAGAUUAGCUAGUUGGUGGGGUAAAGGCCUACCAAGGCGACGAUCUUUAGCUGGUCUGAGAGGAUGAUCAGCCACACUGGGACUGAGACACGGCCCAGACUCCUACGGGAGGCAGCAGUGGGGAAUAUUGGACAAUGGGCGAAAGCCUGAUCCAGCAAUGCCGCGUGAGUGAUGAAGGCCCUAGGGUUGUAAAGCUCUUUUACCCGGGAUGAUAAUGACAGUACCGGGAGAAUAAGCCCGGCUAACUCCGCGCCAGCAGCCGC